AUGGCAGCCUCUCACUAUGCAUACAACAUGCUCAAGAUGCCAGGCCCGAUAAGUGUCAUCUCUGUCCCCGGCGACAAGAAGGAUGCCCUUAUCUGCGCUGACAAGAUCUACCGGGAAGCAGCAGCCGCAGCUGAUCACAACACACUUGCCGCUGAAGCUCCCGGGGGGAAGAAGAAGACAAAGUCCGGCAAGAGCUCUGAUGCACACUCCGGCAAGCGCACCUCUUCGGAGUGCUGCGCUACAGUCGAGGACGCACCAUCGAGCUCCACCGGAAAGUACAAGAAGAUGAUGGCAGCUCCACCCGAGACUAAGAAGGUGUCCUCCAAGGAGGACGGCACUGGUGGUACCUUCACCAUCAGUGCCACGCUUGACCCCAAAUAG
rnacentral:rRNA from 1 species